rnacentral:lncRNA from 1 species
UAUAUAUAUUCUGAAUUUUAAUAAAUUCUAAGAAAGCUCUAUAUCCACACACACACACACCACACACAUAAAAAGGCGGAAACAGAGAUGGAGAAAUAAAUUACCUGCCACUGGGUUUGGCUGUGUUCUUGAAGAUAAUUUGGGCAGAAUUUCUAGCUUCCCAUUCACUUGUAAUCUCCGAUUCUGCCUUUUCCAAAAUAAUUGUCAGUCUUUGAAAUUGCUGACGAACCUGAAGACUUGAUGUAGCUCACCAGCCUCUUCAUACUCCAAGUUGAUGCUGUCGUCUCCAUGCUCAGCUUCCUCAGCUUCUCCAUGUCAAUUUCUCUCGACCUAAACCUCUUCGACUUGUAGACAUUCCUCACUUCCUUCCACUUCCCUCCUCCCAGUUGGCCGGCAAUGACUUAGAUCCACUCAAGUUAGAGUUAGGUUUUCUCUUUUUUUUUUUUAAUGUUUUUUUUCUUCAUCAUUCGCCAUUAAUCCCUCCAUUUUUGGUGGUCCUGAUAGUGUUUCCAAAAUGUAGUGAUGGAACACACUCUCCUUCAUUCUAUUAAAGUAUGUGGUAACAUGAAAAGAUGAGGCCAACACUUUGACUAACACAAUCUUGAUUAGCCAAAUUGUUGCACCAAGUGACACGGCCACCAAUGCUCGAAACACCUUCUCAAGCAUCUUGUUUUUCUUGUGAAGUUUCUCAUUGAAGAUGCAAGUCCAUGCAAGAAGCACAAGACCCAACCACAUACAAUUUCUGAUGCUGUUCGAUUAAACAAACUAGAGUACCUUUUCUUGAAGCAUGAAAUUGCGUUCGAUUAAGAAGACGGCAAAACUCGUCACCCAACCUGAAACUAAGCGGCUACAAAAGGUUUCCAUUACCAUUUCCAAAUCUCAAGCCCCCAUUUCCGUUCAAUCUUGAUAGAUUUUAUUGUCAGUGAACAUACCAAACAAGUCAUAACGAUGAAAAAUAAUACCAAUUCCGCAAAAAGUCUCCGAUUGGACUUCCUAUUUCCUUUCUCUGCUUCGAUUCAGUUCCCACAUCCUCAUCUUCAGAAUCAUCCUUAAGCUCUUUAUCCCACUCAUUGUCGUCAACAUGUGUUGAAUAAAUAUUGCUGUUGUCGUUGUCAUCAAGAAAGGGUUCGAUUUCGUUGGAUUCAGGGAUUGUUUUACUGUGUGCAGUGAGUGGAUACUUGAGCUCUAGUAAUCUUGAUUUGGGUUUUGAGAAGCUGAGACGGUGUGGGGUUUGUUUCCUUGUAGCUGGGAUUUGAUGAAGAUCAGGAACUGAGAAGCUGAGAGAAUUUUUCUCCAAUGGAAGAAUUUUGUUAGGUUCCCUAUUGAGCUCAGUUUGCAUCGACGGGUUGUUAGCGUUUUGCUGGUCUAUAGAGAGAACUACAUGAUCAGGUCCUGCCAUUUCCAUCUCUCUGCAACUCUGUUCACUUACUAGCUGGUUUGCGCGUUUUCUUGCGUGAUCACUACUUAAAAAAAAUAAAAAUAAAUAAAUAAAUAGUGACAGAAAUUUUAUGACUUGUAUCAUUGUGUCACAAACCUAUUUUGACUUCAUUAGAGAUUCGUGACAUAAAUUCAUAUGUCAUGAAUCCAUAACUUAUGACUUAACAAUAUAAACAUAUAAUAGAUAUAAGUCAUGCUUAAGUUAUGUGGAUUUAUAAGAUUUCAAAACAAUGCUAUUUAAAUUAGCAGUAGUAUUUUUUAUUAAAUAACUAAGUUAUUUUAUUUUAAAAAUUACUAAAAAAGGGUUUUGUUGAAAUAAAAUAACACUAGUUUUUGGGAGGUUUUUAAUUAAAUACCCUUUAAUAGUUAAAAAUUAUUUAAACACCCUCCAUUUUUCAGAUUACAUUGAUACCCUAAAAAAUGCGAGUAAGUAUAUAAUGCACUUCGUGAAGAUAUCAAAUGAAUUACACACUCUCUCUUUAUACACUAGAUCAUCCUUCAAAGCCUCUCAAACAAAUAAAACUACUUUUUCACAUUUUUAACACCCCCAUACUUUUUUCGUUGAAAGAAAGGGCAUUACUGAUUAAACAAACUAAGAAGGUAUGUUAAUGUUAUUGGGUCUUUAAGUUUUAUUUAUAUUUUUUAAUAAAAAUGCGUAUAUGGCUAUUUUUUCUACAUUAUAUAAUGUUAUAUUUUUUUACUAAUUUUCCUACAUCUUGUCAAAUUGCAUACAUUCUAUGUUGAUCAAUUACUUUUUCUUUAGCAUGAUGUACAUGAUGAACAUGUCUUGAAGGCGAAAAUGUUAUGAGUUACACGUAAUGUUGUGUAUUGAUUCCGAAGUCUUGUAAUACAUUAAAUGUGGUGGCACGAUGAUGGUAGGUGACCUACGCAACGACGUGAUUUUGUGUACGUAGAUCAUGUAAAUCAUGUAGGUUGUAUAAUUAUUUAUAUAUAAAAUUUGGUAUUAGUAGUUUUAUUAUACUAAUUGACAUGGUUUUUGUACAUGUACCUAUGAAGAAUGGAUAGAACAAAUGACGAGUAUAAAUUUAAAGUGUUAAAGCUAGAGGAAUAAUGGUAUAAAAGUCAUGUAAUUUUAAAGAUAGUGUAUCACACGAAAACUGUGUACAACCUUCGGUCGUGCAUUAUACAACCAAAUGAAUCAACAUAAAUAAUCGGCGCAUUAAAUUUUCAUCCUUUCUAUGAAAAGAAAAUUUGUUGAAAAUUUUAUUUUCAUGAAUCUCCCUUUUUUUAUUUUGGAUCCAAAGGUUUGGCUUUUCUUACCAUAACCCCUAUCUGGCCCAAGUUCUGAUUUUAGAAUCAUUGAUCCUACAAAGACUCCCCAUUCCGGCGCCUACUAGUACGUGAAAUUAUCAUCUUCUUCUUUUUAUUAAUUUCAUCAUUACUAUAUGCUUAUUGUUUUAAAAUUAAAGCUAGCAUUUUUCAGAAUUAAUUAAUUAAAUUGUAUUAAUGAAAUUAAUCUUUCUUUCUCUUUUCUCUUUCAAUGCAAACAACCAGUCUUGCUUCAAGUACCAAAUGGCUACAAUGGAACCAAAUUUAAUUAAAUUUAUUUCAUCUCCCACGUGAUCUUUCUUUCUUCUUUCAUCUUUUAAAUUACUUAUUUCGGUAAUUUCUGAAUUAAUUGAUCUCUCGUAUAUAUUUUCUGAGACGGGAAGAUGACAGUUCGAUUAUGUAAAGUACUUCGUUAACAAGCUGAAACUUGAUAGCCAAUCAGAGGUAUCAAUAGCUCCUUACUGCGGCUGCCAAUGCCCUUUUAUGAAUGUCCUGUGCUGUGCUGCAUCACUCUAGUUAACAUGGCUCCCCAUAAAAAAAAGCCACAAGAGAAAUUCAAAAAAAAAUUUCAUCCAGAAAUUUUAAUUUACACGAACUAGAUAUAUUUGGACUGGACUGGAAAGUUAGUUCAACUCCUUCUGGUUUUUCAUUACUUCAUGAGUGAAAAUUAUUUGGCGAAUGUAGACCAAAAGAAUUCUCUAGAGCUGUGGAACUUAUUAUGACUAUAACAAAAAGUAAAUGCAUUAAUGAUGAUUGAUUAUGAAUAGAUCUACGAUUGUAUUGUACAUUUAUUGGUAAAGUUUAUGUUGAUACUGAAAUGUGGUCGCCUUUUGACCGACCAGAUUGGUUCAUCAACGCUUGUAUUGACAAAGGAACAGAGGCUGCAAUCUAUCAGCUUCAGCAAUUUCCCGAGCUCUUGGGACUCAAAUCACCCUUCUUAUUCCUUCCAGACAUGCGUUCACAAAAACAAAUCAGAGACGCCAGUGGUUUUUCCGGCGUAAACCCUCUGAUACUUAAGUUAGUACAAGAUGUUUACGGAGAAACUGUAUGAUUUGUGUUGUACAGAUUAGUUACAAUAUUCUCAAUACGAAAUGUAUCAAGGAUUCAGAUAUAAGAAUUUCUAAUAUUAAUUUGGCAGAGUUUCCCCUCUUCCUCUAUUUUUGUGUCCCAUUUUUGAUCGAUUUCUUGGCCUUUUAUAGGCAUUCAUCCCACGUUUUCUGAGUAUUCUUCAUGCCCCUCAUUUUCGGGUGAUGACGGACCUUUAUGGGUCUCCAACCACCGAAUCGUGGGUAAACAUGGGGCGCCAAGCGAAACUGUCGUGAGUUCGUGAGAUCGUGUCCUUUUUCUCUGAGUGAUGAGUAUCUGGUCGGUACUCGUUUCCAGUCGGUAUGCUCAUACAAGAUGUAUUACUAAGAAUCUGCUCGUGUCAGUCAGCUGAGGAGAUUCACCCCAUGGUGAGGGACGAGGAGAUAGCUGAGCUGGUACUUUUCAUUACUCAAUAUCAGUCCCCCAAUUUCUAGUCUUGCGAGUGAAACAAGUUGAGACUAGAAAUUAAGAAUUGAAUCUGGCCACCCUCGGGUAGCAUCCUCCUGGUCUUUGUUUUAUUGUGAUGUACCUGAGGUGAUGUUUUCUGCUUAGAGAGUUUUUGACCUAGGUAUGGGCAUUCGUGAGCGUAUCCAUUACGCAGCUGGGUUGACAUCCCAUCAUGUCGUCUUAAUGGCCAAUGACGUGGCACUUUCUGCCUUCUAUAUUUGAAAUUUGAAACGACGGCUUAUCUAUCCUUGAUACACGGUGAUUGAACUGACACCCGCGUAACUUAAACGCCUCUGUUCCCUCUUUCGUCUUAAAUCCCUAAUUUGAGAGUUUUAUUGCGUUUCGUUUUCUGUCAUUUUUCCAUAAGCCAACUCCUUUUGACUCAAAACGUGCUUUCUACGCCGAAGACUUCCUUUUGUCUGGCCCUUUCUCCGUCACAGCAACGCCACUAGUGCUGAUCUAUUCCAGGUAUCGCUUUUAAUUCCUUCUCUGGUUGUUGUUGCUUGGGUUAUGUAUUGUUCUUUUGCACCAAUAUACUUGGAUUUGUUGUAUUUUUCCUUUUAAGAUUUCACUAUGUCAAGACGAAGGGGAAAAUUAAUUGUAGAUGACAGUGAUGAAGAGAUAGAUUCAUACCCCCAACUUGUUAAGACCCACUGACCCCCAACACCCUUCUAGCAGCAUAGGUCCCUCCUAUAAUAAGGAUACCCUUGAGUACCCUCGUUCAGAGACCAUUUCGCCUUCUUCUGACUAUGAACCUAUGAGGAACCGUGGUGGACAAGCAUCGAGUUCUGGUGAGAACCACGGUUAUGAGGGGGUUAAGGUUUCUGAGGAAGAAAGUGAUGAGGAGGAGAGUAGUUCCGAGCCAAGCAGACCCUCUAAGAAAAGAAACCUCGGUAAUAGGAUUGAGGCAGAUGCUUACCCCAUCGACUACCUUACAUGUGCUACUACCCAUACUGACUUGCUCAAGCUAAGAAAACUCUAUAAUAUCCUUGAGGAUGUCCUCCUCGCUAUCCCCGGGAAAGGUGAUGUUCCCAAUCGACCUCCUAAGGGGUAUGUGACUCUGCAUCUGGAGAGAUUCAAGCUAGGGGCUCGGUUGCCCCUUCAACCUUAUUUUGUCAAGAUACUGGGUGGCAUCCAUCUGGCUCCUAGUCAGUUACACCCAAACGGGUGGAGGGUUCUUUCGGCCCUGUUUGUGUUGUGGGAAAUGUGUGAGCUCGGGGAGCCUUCCCUCGUGGAAGUAAAACAUUUGCAUCAGCUAAGGAGCAGUCCUAAAGAGGCAGGUUGAUAUUACUUUAUGUCGAGCCCUGCAAAGAGGAAACCAGCCGUCGGCUGUCCUUCCUCGUGUAAAAAUUGGAAGAACAAAUUCUUCUUUGCUGGAGGAAAUUGGUGCCCAGUGAUCCAUUCGCUUGGUGGUGAUAUUCACCUUCCAACGCAUUUUGUCACCCCAGGUCGUUUAUUUUUCUUUAUGCUUCUCGUCCCUGGUCGUUACUUAUUUGUUUCUUUAACCUUGUCUAUGUUUUCAGAUUUGUGGGGCCUUAUUAGCAAACUUGACGAAGACCCACUACUCAAGGUUGAAACCGCUCUGGUGAAUGCCUCCCAUUGUCAGGAUCUCCUGUCACCGAAAAAUCUCCUCAGAUCUGGUCUUGUAGACAUUGUUGCUGGGAUGGAUAAUAAGAUCCUUAGUGUCAUGUCAAGGAAAUGUGCUCGGAGGUCAGGUGAUUCCAGCAGCGCUCCUGCUCCUCAGAAGAAAAGUAAUAUCAGCACUUCCAAAGCUCUUAUUCCUGCUCUGCCCCCUCAUCCGCCUCGAAAGAAUAGCGGAGAGGAGCUUCGUGACAAGAGCCCUGAGGUCAACACUCAAUUCGGAGAUCGGGCCUCGCCGCUUUCGCCUCGGGACCAAGGCGACUAUUUGACCCCGUAUCAGAAGGAUUACGCCAAAUCGAUUGGGCCCAAAAUGGUCAAAGACAUUGAGAGUAUGAGUCUUGGCGAGCUGGCUGGCUUUGUCUAGAGGGUCUUUUUUAAGCUUGCCACUCUGGUUUCCUACUACAAGAACAGGUUUAUGCGCCAUGAGAGGAAGCUUCAAGCGAAGAAUCAGGACAUGAAGAAAAAGGCUGAAUCCGCUGAUCGGUCGAAGGAAAAGAUGCUCGAUCUGCAUAGGUAGGUUCUGGACCUAGAGGAGAAGGUUGUUGCUGCUGAGUCCAAGUCUUCUCAGCUCGAGAGCGAGUUUGGUGACUUGAAGUUUGAUCUCGAGGCUACACAAAGCGAGCGAGACACUUUGAGGACGACCUACGAGAAGCAAGUCAAGUCCUUGAAUGAGCAGAUAGCCGAGCUCAGGGGUAAAUCUGCUGAGGUGGACGACCGACUUGGUGCAGAGUAUGAUUCUAGGCUCGCCUUUUGCUAUAAAUGCAUCAUGUUCGUACUUAAAGAGGAAUAUCCGGAGCUGAACAUGAGCAAGCUGGAGACAUGUGUGCAGAAGUAUAUGGCUGAGCAGGGCCAGGGGGAUAAGGGCCCGGGGGACCAAGAUCAACGCAAGGCUCCUUCAAGUGGGGCGUAGGAGAAGGAGGCAGGAAACCCAUCUCUGGGUGCAGGUCAUGAGUCAACACUUGCUCCUCCGAAAGUUGCUGGUCCCUCUCUGUCUGAGAUUGCAGAUCCUUCUUCCGCUGAAGCUGCCGAGCCUCAUAAUCUAUGAAUUUUGCUCUUCAUGUAAAUCAUAAAUUUUCUUUUUUGUUUAUGACUAUCAAAACUUUAAUAAACUUGUAGCAUUUUUCUCAUUGUUUUUUGUUAAACUUUUCUUUGUGGAUUACCUUGGAAAGCAAUUUUGGAAACUAUGUUUGCUUGUCCUUAGGCUAUUUUGUGCUUUAGAAAACGUAGUAGACAUUGCCUGCUCGUCCCUAAGUGACGGAGUUGGGAUAGACAUAUAUUUGCCUUAACGAAUUUUAUAGGAUUUGUCUGCUAGUCCUUUAGGCGACCGAGCAGGAGUUGGCACUCUUUUGCCUUAGCGAAUUUUGUAAAAUACGCAUGCUGGUCCUUUAGGCGACCGAACAGGAGUAGGCACUCUUUUAUCUUAGCGAAUUUCGUAGUUUGCCUGCUGGUCCUUUAGACGACCGAGCAGGAAUAGGCAUAUAUUUGCCUUAGUAAAAUUUGUUCUAACAAGAUAGUUAUGAGUUGAAUUUAUCUCUAUUGAUUUUUUUGUGGAUUACAAUAGGCGAAAUACAUGCAUGUGCCACAAUUCCAUGAUACAUCUAGUAGAAAUAUUUUAAUGAAAGGAAACCUUAUAAAAUAUUUUGCUUACUAGAAAUAUUUCUUCAAGUGUUCAGCGUUCCAUGACCUCUUUACUUCUCGUCCAUCUGGGUAGACCAGCUUAUAGGCUCCUGGGCUAGUUGUUCGCACUACCCUGUACGGGCCUUCCCAGUUCAGACCAAGGACGCCCUGGUUAGGAUCUCUCGUGUUCUGGUUCACCUUUCUAAGCACCCAAUCCCUGGCUCGGAAUUACCUUACGCGUACAUUUUGGUUGUAGUAGCGCAUGACCCUUUGCUGACACUGAGCUACCUUCUGCGAUGCUUCUUCUUUUUUCUCCUCUAGUAGAUCUAGGCUUCUACACAUCUGCUCGUCAUUCUGUUCCUUGUUGAAAUACUCUGCCUGAUGCGUUCCCACUCAAUUUCCGCUGGGAUUACUGCCUCAUGACCUAAAGUUAAAGCAAACGGGGUUUCCUCCGUGGCGGUUUUGUGGAUUGUCCGGUAGGCCAAUAACACUCCUGGUAAUUUGUCGACCCAAGCUCCUUUCUUCUCUCCCAGCCUGAUUUUCAAGAGCUUCUUUAUAACUUUUUUAAAUCACGGCACUAGCCGAUAGUGUGACCAUGAGUGUCGUGGAACUUGCAGAACCUGCCUUUAUCCCGCUUGUGAGCUGGUUUAGUUACAGGAGCUGGGGGAUACAACAGGCCUCGUCCUUCAAUCCUAUCAUACAAUUCUUUCAUAGAAACUUUCAACGGGGUGUACUGCUUAUAUGCCAAGCUUUGGUCAAUCAGUUGGACUGCUCGGCCGUCAUGAAAAUCAUCUCGGGUUGGUACUGGGGGUGGCUGGUUUGUUCGGCCCGCCCUGAGGUUAACUGCAUUCAACACCCUAGGAGCGUUAUGAUAGGGAUGGGCAGCCAUCUGCCGGAAUUCUCGCUGCCACUCUUGGAACGGGGGGCGCUGGGGCUGAGCUCGGUUAUGUUGGAACUGUUGUGGUCUUUGAGUUAUUGGGUAGGGGCGGGGGCCGAGUUGAUGCUCCCCCCAUUGUUAAUGGUUCCCCAGCUCGUUUUCCCAACCCGCUCCCAGUCGAUAUCCUCUUCUUUUUUCGCCUCAGCUCCACCAAUUGUUCACUCUUUAUCAUCGAUGUUUUCUCCUCCUCAAUUUCUAUAUCUCUCUUCGCCUGCUCAUACCCCGUUAAAUAACUCUGAAUGAUGAGAUUCCUCAUAUUGUACCACAAUCGGCCUAUCCUCACUCCUUCUUUUAACCCUUUCAGCGCUUGUGGGUGAUUGAAAGCCCCCAAAUCAAGCACGGUCUGAUGAUAUCUCUUCACGAAAUCCAGAAGAGAUUCGUGCUCCUCUUGCUUCAUUCCCAUCAACUCUAUCAUAUCAUCCUCCGAGGUUACCGCUCCGCGAAACUGCUCGGUCAACUCUUAGCAUAUCUGCUCAUACCCCCUUAUACUUCCGCGUAGCAACUUACGGUACCACUCUCUGGCUCGCUCCUCCAAUGUCAAUGGGAACACUCUACACCUCUGAGCUGGUGUUAACCCUUGUACACCUGUCAUGUCGUUGAAACGUUCAAUAUGCACCAGUGGGUCGCUUCUCCCGGAGUACUUGAGGUUAGGAAAGCGAAAUCCCUCGGGAUCACAGUUCCUAUGAUUUCGGCUGAUAGGGGAGACUCAUCAUCCAACAUUAUCCUUUAGCUCGGUGGCUUUCUCUUACCCUACAUCUCAUCUAUCACCUGCGCCAACCGUCGCACCUCUCCCUCCAAUUCCAAAGCCCGAUCAGGAUAACGUGCAGCUACCUGGUCACGCUCCUGCUCAACGCUAUGCAGCCGCUGUCUGAGCUCACUUUCCUUAGCAUUUGUUCCUCGGCUAUCAAUUCCUAAAACCCGCCCAAAGCAAGAUUGGUCUCUCCCUUCAUCCACGUGCUCUUCUAGGAUCCGACUUGCACUUCUAUGGGGAUGCACCCCAUGAGGUUGCUCCCCCAACGGAGGAAUCUCCUCGAGUCUACGCCUCCGAUGGCUGGAUUCUGCAAUGGCUUCAUCUCUCACCGCGGUGGUCUCAUAAUCCCUUCUCCGCUCAUCCCUCAACUCAUGCAAUAUGAUUGUGAGAGUCUCCAUUUGCUUUUCCAUCCGUUCCAUUCGCUCUUGCAUCAUUCUCUCUCUAGCCUCAUUUGCUAUCUCUUGGAGAGUGAUCAUCUCGCCCGUUUCAUUGUCGCCCCCUAGGGCAUCAUUCCUUAUCACAUCCAUAUCCGAUCGUUUGCUGCUCCUCUGAUGAUUACUAACUUGGUGGUAGCUUUUUAUCCAGCUCCCUACAAACGGUGCCAAAAUGUUGAUGCUGAAAUCUGGUCGCCUUUUGACCGACUAGAUUGGUUCACCAACACUUGUAUUGACAAAGAAACAGAGGCUGCAAUACACCAGCUUCAGCAAUUUCCCGAUCUCUUGGGACCCAAAUCACCAUUUUUCUUCCUUCCAGGCCCCCGUUCACAGAAACAAAACAGAGACGCCGGUGGUUUUUCUGGCGUAAACCUUCCGAUACUUAAGUUAGUACAAGGUGUUUACGGGAAAACUGUAUGAUUUGUGUUGUACAGAUUAGUUGCAAUAUUCUCAAUGCGAAAUGUAUCAAGGAUUUAGAUAUAAGAAUUUUUUAUAUUAAUUUGGCAGAGUUUCUCCUCUUUCUCUAUUUUUGUGUCACAUUUUUCAUCGAUUUCUUGGCCUUUUAUAGGCAUUCAUCUCACGUUUUCUGAGUAUUUUUCAUGCCCCUUAUUUUCGGGUGAUGACGGACCUUCAUGGGUCUCCAACCACCGAAUCGUGGAUAAACGUGGGGUGUCAUGUUCUCCUCAGCGAUUUGGGGCAUGACGAAACUGUCAUGAGUUCGUGAGAUCGUGUCCUCUUUCUCUGAGUGAUGAGUACCUGAUCGAUAUGUACCUCUGGUCGGUACUCAUUUCCAGUCGACAUGCUCAUACAAGAUGUAUUACUGGGAAUAUGCUCGUGUCAGUCAGUUGGAAAAAUUCGCCCCAGGGUGAGGGACGAGGAGAUAGCUGAGUUGGUACUUUUCAUUACUCAACAGUUUAAUCUUUUGAUACAGAGAUUAAUUUGAUGAAUCAUCGACCAUCCUCCACCAUACAAACAUUUUAUGAUGUCAUUUAUCUUACACUUUCGUUACCUUUUUAAUGCUUCGGUAGAAUCGGUACGCUUUUAAUAAAUGUUGAAAAAGUUUAUUUAUUUAUUAUUUUUAAAAAAGGUUAAGGAAACUUGCAGCUUGAUGACUUGAUUAAGACAUAUCGUUUGUUUGACCACCUUUUGUUAUCAAAGAUAGUACUUGCUUAAAAAUCUGUGUAUAUAUAGCAGGACAUUGAUAGCUUUAAUGUUUGUGCUUGUUUUAAUUAAUUAAAAUUUUCCACUUUGAUUUGAUUAGAAAUAGAACAAAAGAAUUAAAAAAAAUACUGAUAUAGUGAUAUUCUAGCAAAAUAAUAACGCUCCAGGAAGUUCAACCUGAGUGAUGGAAAUUUUAAUCCAGGCUGUAAGUCAGGGAUCUCGCUAUCCUGCAGGUAUGAUUACAUAUCAUUUUCAAGAAUUGCAGGGGUAUGUGGAUAUCGCAAGAAGUUGGUAUGAGGGCCUGAUUAAGUUUAUUGCUAGGACCAAGAAAAGUGUUGAUUCUAAGGUUGCUGCUAAUGGUUUCAGGUACAAGUUGUGCGGAGUUUUCAAUUGUUAAUGUGUUUUUGUUUAAGAUUCUGUGGCUCUCUGCUUAAGUUGUGUUGUGUGGCUCUCUGCUUAAGUUGUGUUGUAUGUCUCAGGCUGACAUGUUGUCUCUGUAUUUGUCAACCUAACCCAAUUGAUUUCAAUAUUUCACAAAAUUGGGAUUUCGAUUGACUUGCCAACCUCUUUUUAUUUGGGCUGGUAUAAUUGUUAUGAGGUGAAUAUGAAAAUGUUGGGACUAUUAACUCUUGGUGUUGCUUAUAGCUUGAAAGCAUACAUUCUAUACUUAGAUUCUCAUUGACUCAAACUUUUAUUCCCUAUAAAAUAGUUUGGAAAUGGAAACUUAUUGAAAACUAUUUCUCAAUUGAAAAUUUUAGUCUUAGCUUGUGACUGAUAAGUGCAUAUUUUUCAUAUAUUUUGCUAUUAAUUUCUCCAUCCUCUUCUUGUUUUGGUCUUAAAUAUUCUAGUUAUUUUAGUUAAUUUUUAAUUUAGUAAAUUAUAUUUUAUUAUGUUAAUUUUAUGUUAAUUUUUAUAUUUUAUGUUAAUUUUUAUAUUUUAUUAUUUUAGGUGCAUUUUGGGAAUAAAGAGGAAUUAAAUCAGAAUAUUCAAGUAAGGAGAGCUUAAAGAAGAAACUAAUUGGAAAUUUAAAGAAAGUGAUGGGAGUUAAAAUGGAAGAAAAUCAAAGCAGCCAAGGCCUAAUUGAAGUUCACGUGAAGAUGAGAAGAAUUAGCAUUGGAAAUAAUUUAAUUAAUAAGGCAAACACAUUCUUGUGAUGGGCUUUGGCCAAAUUGUUAUUGGCUUAUUAAUUAAAUAAGUCACGUGCAUGGCAUUGAAUUAUGGAAAGCAAAGUGAAACAAAAAGGGAAAAUGGCCUUGCACGUGAAUUCAAAAGAAAAGUGGCGGCUUGACUUUUGUUUUUAAUCCUUUUCAUGUGAGGAUUUAGGGCACAAUAUAAAAGCGAGUUUUGCUUUUGAAUAAAAGGGAAGAGGGCAGACGCAAUUCGGGCAGAGGAAAAUCAGCAGCCGCAAGGAGAAGAAAAAAAUCAGCAGCUGGAAUUAAGUUAAAGCAAAGGCAGCCGCUUGAAUUAAUCUCCAUGAUUGGCUUUGUCAAUUCUCUUAUUCCCAAUUCAAUUAUGUUAGGCUAAAUUUUUAUUUGGUUGAGGGUGAAUUCAAAACCCUAAACAUGCUAUGCAAUUAAAUUUAAAUUCUAUCAUUCAAUUUAUUUAAUUGAGAUUGUUUAUAUUCUUCUAUAAAUUGUGUUCAUGGUUUAUUCUUGUUUUAUUUGAGUGGCCAAUUAGAUAGGACUUGAAUAAAUUCUAUUGCUAGAUUAAAAUUCUUGAUCCGUAAUUGUCUUGAUAUUUUAAUCAUUAGUAGCAGGUUGGAAUCAAUGAUUUCAAUUGGAGAACAUAACCUAGGUUAAAUAAUCCGAGCUUGUGUGUUUAUUGCCUAGAUCAACCUAAUAUAUUUCUUUGUUUAAUGCUUCAAUUAUCUUAAAUUUAAAGAGCUUGUUUUAAAUUAUUUAAUAGUUAGAGAUUAGGUGAAGAGCUUAUUUUGCCUAACGACACACUAAGGAAAGAUUGAGACUAACAGAGCUUAUUGUUGUCUACGGUUGAUAGUUUCAAUAUAAAUUGAUGAUAGAAUUAAUAUAUUAUGUGCAUGUUUGGUGGUGGCGAAUGAUCCUUUAACCAAAGUUUUCAUCAUCAUUAUUUCUUUUUCCUUUAACUAGAGUUUUUAUUAAAUUCUUGUUCGUAGUUUUAAUUUCUUUACUUCUUACUAUUUAGUUAAAAAUUCAUAAACCCCCUUUUUAUUUAUAAUUGGCAUUUUCUUUAGUUAGAUUAAUUUAUAUUAUUACUACUAUUAUUAUUACUACUAUUAUUUUAUUUUAAAUCUUGCUUUAGAGUUGAUAAUAAAUAUAACUACAUAGUUUUUGUGGGAUCGAUCCUUACUCGCUUUGUACUAAUUAUUUAUAUUAGUGGUAAGGUUUUAAAUUUGGUGUACCUUAACGACACUAUCAGUGACCUUUUAACCUUUUAUGUGAUUUGUGUGCUUGCUGGUUAAUUUGAUCUGAAAGGUUGCUACUAUGUUGAGGAGUUGUUUACUUGCUUGGUUGAUUGAGUUGUUAGGUUAAUUAAUUAGUUAUCACGUUUUGCUUUUUGCAAACAACCAUUUUUUGCUUUUUAAAUUUUGACAUUAAAGGAGUAACGAGAUAUUAUGAAAACUGAAGGGACUAGGUAAGUGGUAAAAACUCUAAAUUGCAAGAGAACACUGCUACUCUCCCAUCAGGGUUAGUAAUAUUAAUUAAUCAACAAAGUCCAAACUGUAAAGGGCAAAGUGUUAAUCUCUUGUCAAGGUUAGUGAUAUUUACAGUUCGAUGGUAAGGGUAGGCAAGUGAUAAUACAAGCUUAUGCUUAUUAUAAAGUUUCCAUUUUUAAGGGACUUUAGUUGUUCUCUCUUGUCUCAAAUUUGUUUCUUCCCUAAAAAUAUAUACAGUUCGAUGGUGAGGGUAGCUCUAGCUAUGUACGAAAUCAUUGAUUAAUAAUCAUAUAAAUAAAUUAUUUUGGUAACUCCAUGGAUUAAUGAAUUGGGUACUAUUCCUUUUGAGAAGGCAUGCUAAUUGAUUCUCGAUCAUUGACUUCAAAAGUUGAAGAGACAGGUUGAAAAUUGAUUUUAGUACUGGUAGAAAAAGAUGGUAGUGCUCGAUUAAUUUUUGCGAUUCACUGAAGAUGUGAGUUUGAGUCCCACACAGAAGCUCAUCUCAUGCUCUUAUCCCAAAAAUGUGGAUUAGGGGAAGAUUUGUUGCUAAUUAUUUGCAUUGUAUGUAUCAAGUCCUAUCACAUAUUAGAUUGUAAUGUCAGAACGAGUUUAUAAUGUUGCAUUGUUGCUCAACAUCAUAUGUGCUUAAUAAGCUAUAUCUUUAUUUGAUUUAACCAUUUGAUCUGCUUCUGAAGCUCAUACUUGAAAGUGACAAAUCAAGAUUUCAGUAGUACACAUUUCAAGAGUCUCAAAUAUUACCACACUGCAUUCUCUUAUUAUUCCAACCAAACAAAAUGUAUCAAACUGAAAGACAGACGACCAAGAUGGAGAAUCACUUAAUAGAACAUCCUUAACAUUGAAUUAUUGAAAGCAAGCUGAGAAGUUUGCCGGGGACAGCCUUAAGUGUGUGAUGGCAUGGUCCAGUUGUCGAGGUUGAGCUGGGUGAUGUGUAUUUCCUGAGGAAGAAGAUGAUACUUGAUGCCCAGAUUCUCGAAAAUCUUUUUGAGCUCGAGAAUAAGCUCUGAUAUCCUGAUACUCCUCUCUCCAUAGUUCUGGUGAUUGAUUGUAUGUUGCACAGACAGGCACAUUUUCAACUUGUUUAGCUCAGCUAUCUCUUUCACUAUCACCGAAUGCUUAGGGUUCCAGUAGUUGGGUUUGCUCUCGACAUACCUGCAUUUAUUGAUAAAUAACGCACGCAUGCAUCAGGAACAUCUAAAUGUUAUUGAAUAAUCAAAGGGAACACGACAGUUCUUUCUAUGUAGUUUUUGAUUUUACCCCUAGUAGCUUUUAUAGUACUCCGAUGCAUCUCUGACGUCAAAACUUUAACAGAAAAAUUUAAUUUAGCUACAGACAAAUUAACCAUAUAUUUUUGUUAAUUCAAAUUUUGACCUUCAAAAGAGUAACGAAGUACAUAUUACGAUUUAUGAAGGGUGUAGGAGCUGGGUAACUUGUAAAACUAAAAAACUGUAAGUGGAAAAUGUCAGUUUGCUAACGAAGGUUAGUAAUAUAAAUUAACCAACUUACACUUGUAUGGCCUUCUUAAGAGCAAUGAUGGUCUCCAUUGAUGUGGACAUAUCAAUGGUGAAGUUAACAUUAUCACUCAUCUCUGGACUUCUGUAAAAAUUGCUUAUUGGUUUUGUGAGCAAAACUGCAUUCGGAUAGUAAAUUUUCUCCAUAUCAUACCGAAGAAACACUGUUGUUAAUAUAUUCAUUUCUUCAACAACCAUCUACAUAUAUAUUCACAAUAAAUGCAUCAAGUUAAGAUUUAAGAUAAAAGAGAAAUUAAAUAACUAUUUAUUUAAGAGCACUGAUAUUUGAGUACCAAGACAAUACCAGGGCGACAGAAAUAGUGUUACUAAUCAUUGUUCGUUUGUUCAUUGAACAGUAACACUGUAGCAUACCAAAAUGAUACUGGGCAUGCAAAGUGUUAUCAUUUCUGUCAUCCUGAUUGGUGUCUUUCGGUGUUCAAAUAUCAAUUUUCUUUAAUUAAUUACCUGGACACCAUCAAUGACACAACGAUCUCCAAUGUCAAAAGGGUGCAUGACGAAGAUGAAGACAAUGGAUUCAAAAACCAUCUUGCAAGUGUUUUGGAACAUGAACCCCACAAGAACUAGUUGUGUUAAUACGAAAAAUACAACUUUUGUUGUUGCAAGCUCCAUCACUAGGAGAGACACCACUAUUAUUACCACUACCACCACUGCACUUGCUAAUUUAUGAAGCUGCUGCACUGCUGUUUUUGUGUCAUUCAACGAAUGUGCUAAUGAUUUUCUUUCAAAAUAAGCUCGAACCUGCCCAUUAAAAAAUAGAAAUAAUUAAUUACAUGAGCAACGAUAUUCAGGUAAAAGAAUUUGUCAAAAUAUUGACAAAAGCAAGGCAAAAUGGCACCGGUUUUAACUUGUAUUUUUUUGUCUGCAAUAUGUCAGUACACUUGUCUCUUUAGCAUUUUUCAUUCUUUUAUAGGGUCUUGUUAACAUGUGUGUUAAGAAUAUAAAUUGAAGUAAUUAAAUGACAAAUUAUAAAUAUAAUAUUUAUAUAUAAUUCCCUGGGUCAAUGUGUGGUUAAUAAAUAUCAUAAUUAGAAAACAAAAAAUGUAAUACAUACCACCCAAUUUCUGAAUGAAGAUUUUGUAAUCCUUCCGGUCUCAAGGGCUCCUUCAAAGAGAGGAAAUAUUGUAUGAACCUCAACCCUCUUCAAGAAUCUCAUUAGAUCUUCCUCUUCAAUAAACCUUCAAUAAUUGACGGGAAAAAAAAGAAAGAAAGAGUGAAAGAAUAUAUAAAUUCCUUUAUACUAUAUAUAAUAAAACCUCUUUAUAGUGAUUUUCUAUAUAGAAAUAACCUUCAAAGUCAUAAAAAGUUCUAAUCCAGUUUGUGCUAAUUAUACAUAAGAAUAAACCCUACAUUAUAAUAAGUUAUAAUUUUUUUAGAUUUUAUCUUAAAGAACUUAUCUGCACAAAAUAAUAAUUAUCUAGAUAUUCAAAAACAUAUGCUACGUUUCUUAAAGGUUUAAGAUUGAACAAAGCAUUCUUUCUAAAGUUGUUUGAGACAAUGAUUUAUACAACGUACAGUAUUAAUGAGUUUUAUAUUGAAAAAAAAAUAUUAAAGAGAAUGCAAAAAUUUAGACUUUUAAAAUGAUUUUUCUAUUCGCAACACUACAAAAAUACAUGUACUAGGUUUUUAAAAUUAUGUCUCUCUUUUAUCAUUUUUUAUAUAUUAGAUUUGACACAUUCCUUUAAUUAAUUAUUAAUAUAGUACAUACUCUAAUUCUAUAACACUUGCACUAAGAAUAACUAAGUCAAAACAUUAAUUUUCAUAACUACAUCUUUAUUAAUUUAUAACCUCCUCAUAGAAAUAAAAUUAGUUUGGAUCUAACAAUAUAACUAGAGAGAGAUUUUACGUUAUAAAAUUGAGAUGUAAAUGAAGUACUUAACUAAUGUUGCAUUUAUUGAUUAAUUUAUAUGUAGCUAAUGUUUAAUUAGUACUAAAAGUAUUUCACUAUUUAAACGCUAGUUAGUGAAAGAGUAUACCAUACUAUAUAUAUAUUUGGCUUCUCGUACGCUUGGACUUAGAUUUUAUAUUCAUCUAAUGACCUUGUGCUAAAUAGCAAACUAUAAUUAAUAGUUAUUAGAUAAGAGUGUGAACCGUAAUCAAAUUUUCAUUAAUUAUAUGUGGUUAUAAAUAAAUAUGUAAUAUAAAAUCUUCAAAAGUUUACAUCAUCAUCAUCAUCAACAUCACCAUCAUCAUUAUUAUUAUUAUUUUGUAUCUUUCUUUUAAAAGGGAGAGGGGUGAGAAAAGUCUAAAUCAAUUUUUAAUUCUUAUAUCCUAAAAUUCAAACUCACAUAGUCAACUAGAUAAAAUUGUUAGAAAAUCGCUCAACUAAAGUUCUUGGAAGCAAAAGCUUACGUAAUUAUUCAUACACGUUUGACAUAAUUAAAAUCAUUAAAACCUCCAACAACUCUUGUCAACAAAGAUUUAAAUAUUAUUUUUUCUUUUUCGAGGAGAAGAUUUAAAUAUCCUUAAUACCUCAUAAUAGUUGAAUUUUCUUUUCUGACGAAUGCAUGACCAGUGAAUGCAAUAGAACCAUUUAAAGUUGGUAGAACAAUUCCAUACAAAAAUAGGCUAAGUGAUUACUUGGACCACCACCAAUAUCCUCGUCAUGCAUUUUGUUUGGACCUUAUCUGAAGAUUGGUUAAAUGUUUGUAUGCACCAUCUAUGAUCUAUCCAAUUGGACCACACAAGACCUUUCCAAGAAUUACUCGAGCACUCUGACAGUGCACGAGCGGCCACCAGCUAGGUAGCACUAGUGUUGCUCCCACUAAGCUCUCAUCAGUGGAUCAAGACAUCCACUCAGUUGUGCUCAAUUUUCUAUUAAAUAGGAAAGGCACGUUUCAAAUUCAAUAUAUUAUCAUAUUAAAAAAAUAUUUAUUUAAUCUCAAUAUUUAGAGUUAAGUUUUUAUAUUUUAAAAAAUAUCUCAAGAUAUUACUGCUGUUAAAUAUAUUAUAUUCAUACCUUUACUUUUUCUGUCAAUAUUCUUACCUUUUUGAGCAUAUUUACGAAAAGAAAAAAAUGUUAAUUUAUCAAAUUAGCAUUAAAAGUAAUAUAAAAUUUGUCACAAAUUUUUAUGUUAUUAUUUUAUUUUUAGGAUUAAUUUAGUAAAUUAUUUUUUUAAUAAAAUAACUAUCAGUAAAAUUAUUGUAAGGAUAUUGAACAUUACUUUAAGUUGGCUGAUAUUACUUUAUCUGUAAAUGAAUUAUUAGUAAAAUUGUUGCAUGGAUACAAAAAAAAUAUACUAAUUCUUUUAUACUAAUAUUUAUUGGUUAAUUUGUUAAUAAAUAAUUAUUUAUUAAUUUGUUGAUUAAAGUUUUUUAGAUAAUUAAUGUAAGAAUAUUAUUGUCAGAGUAUUAUUGUACAAGUAAAGAAAAAGGAAAGGCAAGAAUGUCACAUGUCUAGCUAAAAUGGUACUUUGAGAUAUUUUUCAAAAUAUGAAGACAAAAUGAAUACUUAACUUAAAAUAUAAGGACUAAAUAAAUGUUUGCCUUAUUAUAUUAUGAUUUGUUAAUAAAAACACAACCCCUAUUUUUUUUUAAAGCAUUUUUUUAUUUUCUGACAGUCGUCAGCUUAUGGUAUAUGCACAUGCAUCUGCCAGUAUACGUGCACAUAUGCAUGCGCUGUGGAGUAAUAUUUCCAAAGAUCAAAUUCAAUAUGUUAUGAUAAACGAAAGUAGAACCCUAAAUUUUGAGAAAUUAUUUUUUUUAAUAGUCACUAGUUUAUAUGCAUGUGCAAGUAUAUAUACGUGUAUAUACGUGCAUAUAUAAUUUUUUUUUUUUUUUUUUGUAUAAACCGAUACGACAUAACAACACUGGUUAUAUAUGCACAAGUAAGGGGAAUAGAGAAUCGAAUAACGUACUUCGCACCGAGUUUGGCUACGUUCUUAAAGAUCCUUUGAGCAGAGUUUGUAGCUUCCCAUUCACUUGUAAUCUCUGAUUCCGCAUUUCCAAAAUAAUCAACAGUCUUAGAAAUAGUUGACAACCCCGAAGACUUAAUGUAGCUCACCAGUCUCUUCAUGCUCCAAGCUGAUGCUGUCCUCUCCAUGCUCAGCUUCCUCAGCUUCUCCAUGUCAAUUUUCCUCGACCCAAACCUCUUCGAUUUGUAAACAUUCCUCGCGUCCUUCCACUUUCCCUCCUUCCAAUUUGAUGGCAAUGACAUAGAUCCACUCAGGUUAUGGUUAGGGUUUUGUUUUUCUUCAUCAUUCGCCAUUGAUCCCUCCAUUAUUGGUGGACCUGAUAGAGUUUCCAAAAUGUAGUGAUGGAACACACUCUCCUUCAUUCUAUCAAAGUAUGUGGUUACAUGAAAAGAUGAGGCCAACACUUUGACUAACACAAUCUUGAUUAGCCAAAUUGUUGCACCAAGUAACACAGCCACCAAUGCUUGAAACACCUUCUCAAGUAUCUUGUUUUUCUUGUGAAGUUUCUCGUUGAAGAUGCAAGUCCAUGCAAGAAGCACAAGACCCAACCAUAUGCAAUUUCUGAUGCUGUUUCUAAGGCCAUAAACAAAAUAGAGUACCUUUUCUCUAAGCAUGAAAUUGCGUUCGAUUAAGAAGACGGCAAAACCCAUCACCCAAGCUGAAACUAAGCGGCCACAAAAGUUUACCAUUACCAUUAAGCACCAUUUCCAAAUCUCAAGGCCCCAUUUCCGUUCAAUCUUGAUAGAUUUUAUUGUCAGCGAACAUAUCAAACCAAUCAUG